AUAUCAUCUCCACAAAGGUGUCCUAAAGGUCACUUAUGAGCUUAUGGUUUAUGAGGCAUUUCUUGGAUACCUGAACACCCAGGCAUGCAGGAUCAUGUCAACGGGCUGAACAGAAGCUUCUUAGAUGACAGCUGCUUCUCACAACUCUCCUUGCUCAACAACAGCAGUGGUGACAACCUACUCAUCAGCAUUGCCAGUUUACUACAUGCUGGCCUUGGACUUCCAGCCACCCUGUUGCAGCUGCUGCACUACAUGGCCAUCCCCCUAUUCCUAGGCUACCCUCACCCUUCCUCCUCAUUCAACUCCCCUAUACCCCUAGGUCACCCUGCCCUGCUCUUCCCCACCUCCCAGCUCCUCUUCCUAUCAGAUCUAAGUACUGUAGGGAACAAGCAUCAUCUUGUUUUCAG
ensembl:lncRNA